AACCCAUGGUGAGGGCACCUUCUCAAUAAGUCUUUGUAUCUCUCCCAUGCAUCAUAAAGAGUUUCUAAGUCCAUCUAUACAAACGAAGAGAUAUCAUUAUGUAAUU
rnacentral:snoRNA from 1 species